AUUGAACGCUGGCGGCAGGCCUAACACAUGCAAGUCGAACGAGUGGCGGACGGGUGAGUAAUGUCUGGGAAACUGCCCGAUGGAGGGGGAUAACUACCGGAAACGGUAGCUAAUACCGCAUACCAUCGGAUGUGCCCAGAUGGGAUUUGCUAGUAGGUGGGGUAACGGCUCACCUCGGCGACGAUCCCUAGCUGGUCUGAGAGGAUGACCAGCCACACGGGAACUGAGACACGGUCCAGACUCCUACGGGAGGCAGAAGUGGGGAAUAUUGCACAAGGGGCGCAAGCCUGAUGCAGCAAUGCCGCGUGUAUGAAGAAGGCCUUCGGGUUGUAAAGUACUUUCAGCGGUGAGGCGUUACCCGCAGAAGAAGCACCGGCUAACUCCGUGCCAGCCGCCGCGGUAAUAC
rnacentral:rRNA from 1 species